rnacentral:hammerhead_ribozyme from 1 species
AUCCAGCUGACGGGUCCCAAGGCGGACGGAACGUGCGUCCUGGAU